rnacentral:rRNA from 1 species
UGGGGAAUUUUCCGCAAUGGGCGAAAGCCUGACGGAGCAACGCCGCGUGAGGGAUGAAGGCCUCUGGGCUGUAAACCUCUUUUCUCAAGGAAGAAGACCUGACGGUACUUGAGGAAUAAGCCACGGCUAAUUCCGUGCCAGCAGCCGCGGUAAUACGGGAGUGGCAAGCGUUAUCCGGAAUUAUUGGGCGUAAAGCGUCCGCAGGCGGCCAUGUAAGUCUGUCGUUAAACCGUGGGGCUUAACUCCAUUUCAGCGAUGGAAACUACAAGGCUUGAGUAUGGUAGGGGCAGAGGGAAUUCCCGGUGUAGCGGUGAAAUGCGUAGAUAUCGGGAAGAACACCAGUGGCGAAGGCGCUCUGCUGGGCCAUAACUGACGCUCAUGGACGAAAGCCAGGGGAGCGAAAG